rnacentral:rRNA from 1 species
UUAGUGGCGGACGGGUGAGUAACGCGUGGAAAACCUGCCGUAUACUGGGGGAUAACACUUAGAAAUAGGUGCUAAUACCGCAUAAGCGCACGGCUUCGCAUGAAGCGGUGUGAAAAACUCUGGUGGUAUACGAUGGUUCCGCGUCUGAUUAGCUAGUUGGUGGGGUAAUGGCCUACCAAGGCAACGAUCAGUAGCCGGCCUGAGAGGGUGAACGGCCACAUUGGGACUGAGACACGGCCCAAACUCCUACGGAAGGCAGCAG